ensembl:lncRNA
GCAGUCCGUGCGCGCGCGCGACGCUAACGGCUCGCCCAGCGAUAGCUCAGCACAGCAAUGCUACCACUUGUAGCAACUUCUCGAAGCUUUUUUUAACAAGUAAAUCCGUCCAGACCUUAACUACGAACGGAAAUCUGACUGAAAACAACCCAUUUCAGAUUAAACUAUGAGGAAAUGAUUUCUCUCAGGACGCGCCAAAAGAGUCUCCCACGGACGGAGUCUCGUGUCCGUACGGAAAGAUGAGGGAUUUGUGAAGCUUUCGUACUGUAUAUAGCAGGACAAGACAGGACCCAGAAAGGGGGCUGGUUUCAAGAGGAGGGGGGGAUGAAAAAAAGAAGACGACAAGAAAUGCAUGAGAGGGAAAACGGAGGAACAACAUCUGCUGCCUUGCCGAUAGUUAAAUGUGACGUCUGUGUGGUACGAAUGACUCGAACCCGAAGACUCAAGAGGUGAACUAGUCCUUUCUGUUUCCGGGGAACGGACGUGACAAAAGGAAGAACGACUCGGAUCUGGAGACGUCUCUGUCCCAUCAAAGAACCCCAUUUCCCCAGAAAGUUGAAAAAGAUGAAAGGAUAAGAACAAGAAAAGGGGACAAAAGAGAGAGGGCUUGAGUUACAAGCCUGCCCCGGUGAGAGUGUCCAUGAAAGAGUUUGGGCAUGGGAGAGAUGGACGAGACAGAGAAUGACAGAAAGACUUUCAGAGAUAGGCGAGACAGAAUGAAAGGAAGAGUGCUUCUGAGUCAGACUGGUAUCGACACAGACACACAAACACAGAAACUUUCAUCAGCUUUCAUGGAUAUAGCCUGAAAAUACAUUCUCUUAACACACCCGGUGAAGAAAGAGGUCCUCCUCGUGAGCUUUCCCUUCCUCCCUGUGGUAUUCCUCCCUGUUGGCAUUUGGUUUGUCGUUCCCUCGUAAUCUCCGUCUCCCUCCCACCGUUCUGCAUCUCCGGCUGUGUCUCAACUUGCCUCAUGUGCACUUAGAUAUUUCAGCCCCAGGGUCUAUUGCUCAGAUAAAGGGAGAGUGCGAGAAGAGCGAGAGAAAUUUUUUUUCAUCAAGCUGUUGCGGGAUAUGCUCACGCAGGGCGACAAAAGUUAAUUUCACACACUCGUUUUCACAUACUCGUGCUCCAAUGCAAACACUCAGAAAUGAAUACAGACUCAUACCCUGACUCAUACACCGGCUCUCGCUCGGUCAUUUGCUCCAUUGCUCACAAACUGUUCCAUGUUUCUUUAACGUUCCAUUCACAAGAAACCCAAAGGCUUUGUCGUGUCUCUGAACCAGCAAUUCCCGUUUACUCAAGGAGCAUUUUUACACCCUAAACCUCAAGUGCAUACUCAGGGCACUCCUCUUGAACACACACACACACACACACACACACACACACACACACACACACACACACACACACACACACACACACACACACACACACACACACACACACACCUGAAAGUGACAAAAGAGCGGAUAUUUACAACCAGAGCUGGUUCUUCUGUUUCAGCUUCCAGAUGAAUAAUUGACUCCGUUUCAAGCACAUAAUGUAAUGCAUGUACACAAUAGAAAAUGAAACUCCCAAGUGUGCAAAAUUAGGCAGUGAGGAAAUAAAUCUGACCCACGUAAAGCUUUACUUCCUCCAGUGUUUUUUUUUUCUUCCCUGUAAUGAAGCUUUAUGAAUGUAACCAAGUCAGGUUUAUUUCCCCAGACAUGGAAAUCCC